AGUUGCGUCCUGCGCGCCGUCUGAAGCUAGCAGCCAGGUCGUCCCGCCGCCCUCCACCACAAUCUUCGUCGGACUGCUACUCAGCCGGAAAUCAUUAUCUCCUGCUGUCCGCCGCCCUCUGCCACAAUCUCUGCCAAAUCUGCGAUUGCAAUCGCCGGCAACCAAGAUGUCCACUCCGCAUGUCGCCUUUCCCUUGCUGUCCAAAGUCACCGCCGCCGUGAAGAGCCAUCAACGCGAAGCCUCCGCCGCUCUGCUGCUCUGCCGGAAACCAUCUACUGGCUGCCUCCGCCGCUCUGCUGCUUUGCCGGAAACCGUCGACGACCUAUUGUACAUUUUUGAUAUGUAGUUACAAGGUAUGAUGCGAACAUGGAGUUACAAGGUAAUAACGAUUACUGAUUUCUGAAUUUUAAAUUUUCCCCUAUUUGAAACCCUAAUUGAAAGCUGUGGAAGAAACAUUUUCCCCCUUUCUGUUAUUUCCCUUUUCAAUUUCCCCGUUGAAUUCGACGCUUUGAUAGUGUUAUUUACGGCUCAGAGGCUCCAAUAAUUCCAAGGCGAUGCUCUCUUCUCUGCUGAACAAGAGGGAAAAGCUGCAAGACUAGCUCCGGAGUGUUGAAAAGCAGGUUGUUUAACCCUCUCUAAUUAUGAGAUUUGGAUUUGGUUUUGGUUUAUAUUCUGAAAUUCGUGCUAUAUAAGUGGUUGAAAUCAAUAGAUUACUUCACUCGAGUAUUCAAUAAAUUUAUUUUUAUUUUAUGCCAAUUUCCUUGAACUUGAUUCUCAACCACUUCAAAAUUAAUACUGAUACUAGUUUUAUCCAAAAUUGUUCUCAACUGUAGAGUUAAUUCCAGUUCAUUUUUUGGUUGCUUUGUUUAUUUUGGUUUUUUGAUACUCAAACGUAAAGCUGUCGACUUUAGUCGAUUAUCCACUAUAAAUUUAAUCUCGAAUUUGAUGAGAUAUUUUGAAAUUUUCGUUUAUUUGAUUCUCAGCUCAAGUGUUGUUGUAUUACAUGUUGGUUGAUCAAGAUUUUGUAGUUGUUCUAAACCCGAUGUUUUGGUAGAGACCAUUAUGUCCAAGGUAGCUCUUUCUAUUUCCAAAUGGCUCUCUUACUUUGAAAUUUUCUUUUGUUGGAGCUUAUGUAUCUUGCUAGAGCAGAGCGAUAUGAGUAAUGAGAGGUAUUCUUUUCUUUAAAUUCUCAGAUGGAUAAUUUGGUGGGGUGAGAUUGGGGCACAUGAACAUCAACCAAUUAGGGAUUCGAGGCUCUCAUUAGUCAAUUAAGGAUCGGAAGUCUCAAUUCUUUUCUGUAAACUACUACUUGCUUAGCAAUUGCUAUUGUUUAUAUUUCACCUUUUUUUUCCAUAAGUAUUUGAUUAGAAAUUUAGAAGAGACAUGCUGCUUGUAAAGAAGCAUGAAUUAAAGAGGCCAUUACUUAUUAGGAUCUCAAUCUGUUGCUUCAAGAAUUAUAAAGUGAAAACAAAUGCGCGAGAAAGGAGGAUAAUCAUAUGAAACUUUCAAGUGAUGACAUCUAUACACAGAGUUAAAAGCAGGUGGAGAACUUGAUGAUUUGAAGCCCUGCAUUGAUGCAAUCAAGGUUAAGCCAAAUAAUGGGAAACCUUUAAAGAGUGUCUUGAACGAGUGCCCUUUUAGAAUCUAUAUAUAUUUCAUUUAAUUUGGCUUGCCAACCCCUUUGCUCCCCACAACUGACUUCAUUCUGCAGCCUUUAAGAGAAAGCUGUUAACUUAUUUCCAGAUUAUCAACGACCGAACCGUUGGGGGAAAAUGCUAUGUGUCAGGAUACAUGAUUCAGUCCUACAUCUUCAACUCCUGGUUGCUGCGUGUAGUUAACUAAUUUUUAGUUUCUGAUGGAAAACUGCUAUUGGAAUUAUUUACUGUGUAUUCCCACCAGGUCCAGAUUUGAUGAUCUUGGGAGUAGAGAGCUUUCGUUUGAUACUUUCAAUGAUGAUUUGGAUCAGGUAAAACACUUGAUACCGCUAUUGAAGCUUUUAACAUUUGGUUGUGGUUAGGUUGUUGAAUGUGGUUGUUGCUAUCAACAUGAUGCAAGAUGAAAGAAUCGAGCCGGCAGUCUCUCUUGGAUCACAUCACUGUUCAACUUGCACCACGUGCAGCGGAUGAACUCUUCAGAUGGGCAUAUGCUGCUCUCCCCCAGUUCGUCGCGCCUCGAUCUGCCGCUCUCUCGUCCGCCUUUCCCAGAAGGAGUCCACCUCCACCUGGUCCUCCGCCUCCGUGGUGCACUUUAAGCUACCUCAUACGAUUGCCUAUCUUGGUGCCUAUUUUUUUAGUUUGUCACUUUAAUAAUUCUAAAGGUAGCGGUCAUUCUUCAUUUUUCACUAAAUCUCUAUUGCAGAUUACUUUCAUGAGGAAGAAGGA